rnacentral:rRNA from 1 species
GCUUAAUAUUAAAAUUUUAUUUAGUUGAAUUUUGUAAUAUAAAAACUUUAUAAUUAAAUUUAUUUUAUUGGGGCGAUAAGAGUAAAAAUAUCACUACCUGCUUAAUUUUUAAUACAUAGAUUGGUGAUUAAAUUUAUAAAUGAUCCUAAGUAAAGAUUAAAAGUUUAAGUU